rnacentral:sRNA from 1 species
UGUGUGUGUGUGUGUGCACGUGUGCGCAUGUGUGGUUUAAAUUCAGCCCUCAUGGAGACCAUAAAGCAAAUGUGGGUUUAAAUCUCAAAUUCAACAAGAAAAAUGAGGAGGUACCUGGAUAUACUAAGAAAGUUGGAAGUGAAUGGAUGUAUUCAUCUGCAGCAGAACAACUUCUGGCAGAGUACUUAGAGAGAGCUCCAGAACUAUUUAGUUAUAUAGCCAAAAAUAGCCAAGAGGAUGUGUUCUAUGAAGAUGACAUUUGGCCUGGAGAAAAUGAGAAUGGUGCUGAGAAAGUUCAAGAAAUUAUUACUUGGCUAAAAGGACAUCCUGUCAGUACUUUAUCUCGUUCUUCUUGUGAUUUACAAAUUCUGGAUGCAGCUAUUGUUGAGAAAAUUGAGGAAGAAGUCGAAAAGUGCAAG